CAGCAGCCACGGUAAUACGAAGGGGGCUAGCGUUGCUCGGAAUUACUGGGCGUAAAGGGCGCGUAGGCGGACAGUUCAGUCGGGGGUGAAAGCCCGGGGCUCAACCUCGGAAUUGCCUUCGAUACUGGCUGUCUUGAGUAUGAGAGAGGUGUGUGGAACUCCGAGUGUAGAGGUGAAAUUCGUAGAUAUUCGGAAGAACACCAGUGGCGAAGGCGACACACUGGCUCAUUACUGACGCUGAGGCGCGAAAGCGUGGGGAGCAAACAGGAUUAGAUACCCCUGUAGUCCCUGUCUCUUAUAU
rnacentral:rRNA from 1 species